rnacentral:rRNA from 1 species
CUGCCAGUAGUCAUAUGCUUGUCUCAAAGAUUAAGCCAUGCAUGUCUAAGUACCAUACUCUUGAAAAGUGAAACUGCAAACGGCUCAGUAAAACGGUCGUAAUGUCGUGGCCUGCAAGUCUACUUGGAUAACUGUGGCAAUUCUAGAGCUAAUACAUGCACCUAGUCUCCGAUCGAAGGGCUGCCCGCCUCUUGCGGGGUGUGGCGUGUCCGGACUGACGAGCGCAUUUAUCAGUUUGAAGCCAGCGGGGUUCGUUCAUGUCGCCGGCAACGGCGGCUGGGCCUUCAUUUGACUCUAGAUAACUUUGCCGAUCGAACGGUUGUAACUUCCUAAGACUUGGCCAGACAACGUCCGACCCAUCACACUGUCGACGGUUGGGACUGUGCCCACCAUGGUGAUUACGGGUGACGGGGGAUCAGGGUUCGAUUCCGGAGAGGGAGCAUGAGACACGGCUACCACAUCCAUGGAAGGCAGCAGGCGCGCAACUUACCCAAUCUCGACACGAGGAGGUAGUGACGAAAAAUAUCAUUCGGGGCUGUGAAGAGGUCUCGUUAUUGAAAUGGGCGCAAUGUAGCAUUUGCGCGAGGAACAAUUGGGAGGGC